rnacentral:piRNA from 1 species
UGCUGUUCCCAUAGCCUGCACUGC